GAUGAACGCUGGCGGCGUGCCUAAUACAUGCAAGUCGAGCGAACAGACGAGGAGCUUGCUCCUCUGACGUUAGCGGCGGACGGGUGAGUAACACGUGGAUAACCUACCUAUAAGACUGGGAUAACUUCGGGAAACCGGAGCUAAUACCGGAUAAUAUAUUGAACCGCAUGGUUCAAAAGUGAAAGACGGUUUUGCUGUCACUUAUAGAUGGAUCCGCGCCGCAUUAGCUAGUUGGUAAGGUAACGGCUUACCAAGGCAACGAUGCGUAGCCGACCUGAGAGGGUGAUCGGACACACUGGAACUGAGACACGGUCCAGACUCCUACGGGAGGCAGCAGUAGGGAAUCUUCCGCAAUGGGCGAAAGCCUGACGGAGCAAAGCCGCGUGAGUGAUGAAGGUCUUCGGAUCGUAAAACUCUGUUAUUAGGGAAGAACAAAUGUGUAAGUAACUAUGCACGUCUUGACGGUACCUAAUCAGAAAGCCACGGCUAACUACGUG
rnacentral:rRNA from 1 species